GAUGAACGCUAGCGACAGGCUUAACACAUGCAAGUCGAGGGGCAGCACAGGUAGCAAUACCGGGUGGCGACCGGCGCACGGGUGAGUAACGCGUAUGCAACUUGCCUAUCAGAGGGGGAUAACCCGGCGAAAGUCGGACUAAUACCGCAUGAAGCAGGGGCCCCGCAUGGGGAUAUUUGCUAAAGAUUCAUCGCUGAUAGAUAGGCAUGCGUUCCAUUAGGCAGUUGGCGGGGUAACGGCCCACCAAACCGACGAUGGAUAGGGGUUCUGAGAGGAAGGUCCCCCACAUUGGUACUGAGACACGGACCAAACUCCUACGGGAGGCAGCAGUGAGGAAUAUUGGUCAAUGGGCGCGAGCCUGAACCAGCCAAGUCGCGUGAGGGAUGAAGGUUCUAUGGAUCGUAAACCUCUUUUAUAAGGGAAUAAAGUGCGGGACGUGUCCCGUUUUGUAUGUACCUUAUGAAUAAGGAUCGGCUAACUCCGUGCCAGCAGCCGCGGU
rnacentral:rRNA from 1 species